UUGAAAUUAGUUAAUAUAAUAUAAAUUUGUCAAAUUUAAGUAAUAGAUUUUUCUAUAUUUUUUC
rnacentral:tRNA from 1 species